GGAUUAGAUACCCUGGUAGUCCACACUGUAAACGAUGAACACUAAAUUUUGGGUUAUAUAUUCAGAAUUACAGCUAACGCGUUAAGUGUUCCGCCUGGGGAUUACGGUCGCAAGAUUAAAACUCAAAGGAAUUGACGGGGGCCUGCACAAGCGGUGGAGCAUGUGGUUUAAUUCGACAAUACGCGAGGAACCUUACCAGCUUUUGACAUCUUUUAUCAGAUCAAAGAGAUUUGAUCAUCGGUUCGGCCGGUUUAAGACAGGUGUUGCAUGGUUGUCGUCAGCUCGUGUUG
rnacentral:rRNA from 1 species